ensembl:lncRNA
CCAGGACGACGGGCAGCUGAGUUUGUGACUGAAGAUGUGUCCAUACCCUGGCUUGGCGAUCGAUAUGACCCAGGCUUCCCGUUUCGGCCGUGUUUUUCUCCUCGCGCCCCCGAUUUACCGGGUCUUCGGACCACAGAGGGCCUUGCAUUUCCGGCUUUUGCUUGAUCACGUAACCUUGGUGGCCAGUAGAGGGUCCAGGUCGAACAUUAUAAACGGGUUGGGACCACCCAGGGCGGCCCUUGGCCGAAUCGCUCAUGGCCUUCAGCAGACCCGUCCCAAACCCUCAACCUGGCAAAUUUGGCCUUGGAAUACAGAAUGAAGCAGGGUAAAGGCUAAUAGAGUUUUGCCAAGAGAAUGCACUGGUCAUAGCAAACACAAGAGAAGACUCUACACAUGGACAUCACCAGAUGGUCAACACCGAAAUCAGACUGAUUAUAUUCUUUGCAGGCAAAGAUGGAGAAGCUCUGUACAGUCAGCAAAAACAAGACCAGGAGCUGACUGUGGCUCAGAUCAUGAAUUCCUUAUUGCCAAAUUCAGAUUUAAAUUGAAGAAAGUAGGGAAAACCACUCGACCAUUCAGGUAUGACCUAAAUCAAAUCCCUUAUGAUUAUACAGUGGAAGUGAGGAAUAGAUUUAAGGGACUAGAUCUGAUAGAGUGCCUGAUGAACUAUGGAAUGAGGUUCAUGACAUUGUACAGGAGACAGGGAUCAAGACCAACCCCAUGGAAAACAAAUGCAAAAAAGCAAAAUGGCUGUCUGAGGAGGCCUUACAAAUAGCUGUGAAAAGAAGAGAAGCAAAAAGCAAAGGAGAAAUGGAAAGAUAUAAGCAUCUGAAUGCAGAGUUCCAAAGAAUAGCAAGGAGAGAUAAGAAAAUCUUCCUCAGCGAUCAAUGCAAAGAAAUAGAGGAAACAACAGAAUGGGAAAGACUAGAGAUCUCUUCAAGAAAAUUAGAGAUACCAAGGGAACAUUUCAUGCAAAGAUGGGCUCGAUAAAGGACAGAAAUGGUAUGGACCUAACAGAAGCAGAAGAUAUUAAGAAGAGGUGGCAAGAAUACAUAGAAGAACUGUACAAAAAGAUCUUCACAACCAAGAUAAUCACUAUGGUGUGAUCACUCACCUAGAGCCAGACAUCUUGGAAUGUGAAGUCAAGUGGGCCUUAGAAAGCAUCACUAUGAACAAAGCUAGUGGAGGUGAUGGAAUUCCAGUUGAGCUGUUUCAAAUCCUGAAAGAUGAUGCUGUGAAAGUGCUGCACUCAAUAUGCCAGCAAAUUUGGAAAACUCAGCAGUGGCCACAGGACUGGAAAAGGUCAGUUUUCAUUCCAAUCCCAAAGAAAGGCAAUGCCAAAGAAUGCUCAAACUACCGCACAAUUGCACUCAUCUCACAUGCUAGUAAAAUAAUGCUCAAAAUUCUCCAAGCCAGGCUUCAGCAAUACAUGAACCGUGAACUUCCUGAUGUUCAAGCUGGUUUUAGGAAAGGCAGAGGAACCAGAGAUCAAAUUACCAACAUCUGCUGGAUCACGGAAAAAGCAAGAGAGUUCCAGAAAAACAUCUAUUUCUGCUUUAUUGACUAUGCCAAAGCCUUUGACUGUGUGGAUCACAAUAAACUGGAAAAUUCUGAAAGAGGUGGAAAUACCAGACCACCUGACCUGUCUCUUGAGGAACCUGUAUGCAGGUCAGGAAGCAACAGUUAGAACUGGACAUGGAACAACAGACUGGUUCCAAAUAGGAAAAGGAGUACGUUAAGGCUGUAUAUUGUCACCCUGCUUAUUUAACUUAUAUGCAGAAUACAUCAUGAGAAACACUGGGCUGGAAGAAGCACAAGCUGGAGUCAAGAUUGCCGGGAGAAAUAUCAAUAACCUCAGAUAUGCAGAUGACACCACCCUCAUGGCAGAAAGUGAAGAGGAACUAAAAAGCCUCUUGAUGAAAGUGUAAGAGGAGAGUGAAAAAGUUGGCUUAAAGCUCAACAUUCAGAAAACGAAGAUCAUGGAAUCUGGUCCCAUCACUUCAUGGGAAAUAAAUUGAUGGCGAAAUAGUAGAAACAGUGUCAGACUUUAUUUUGGGGGCUCCAAAAUCACUGCAGGUGGUGAUUGCAGCCAUGAAAUUAAAAGACGCUUACGAAGGAAAGUUAUGACCAACCUAGAUAGCAUAUUCAAAAGCAGAGACAUUACUUUGCCAUCUAAGAUCCAUCUAGUCAAGGCUAUGAUUUUCCUGUGGUCAUGUAUGGAUGUGAGAGUUGGACUGUGAAGAAAUCUGAG